CGCGUAGGCGGAUUGGUAAGUCGGAUGUGAAAUUCCAAGGCUCAACCUUGGAGCUGCAUUCGAAACUAUCGAUCUAGAGGAAUGGCGGAGAAAACGGAAUUCCACAAGUAGCGGUGAAAUGCGUAGAUAUGUGGAGGAACACCUGUGGCGAAAGCGGUUUUCUAGCCUAAACCUGACGCUGAGGCGCGAGAGCAAGGGAUCAAACA
rnacentral:rRNA from 1 species